rnacentral:rRNA from 1 species
AGAGCGAACGCUGGCGGCAUGCUUAACACAUGCAAGUCUCACGGGCAGCAAUGUCAGUGGCGGACGGGUGAGUAACGCGUAGGUAUCUAUCCUUGGGUGGGGGAUAACGUCGGGAAACUGACGCUAAUACCGCAUGACACCUGUGGGUCAAAGGCGCGAGUCGCCUGGGGAGGAGCCUGCGUACGAUUAGCUAGUUGGUGGGGUAAAGGCUUACCAAGGCGACGAUCGUUAGCUGGUCUGAGAGGAUGAUCAGCCACACUGGGACUGAGACACGGCCCAGACUCCUACGGGAGGCAGCAGUGGGGAAUAUUGGACAAUGGGCGAAAGCCUGAUCCAGCAAUGCCGCGUGUGUGAAGAAGGUCUUCGGAUUGUAAAGCACUUUCGGCGGGGACGAUGAUGACGGUACCCGCAGAAGAAGCCCGGCUAACUUCGUGCCAGCAGCCGC